GUCAAGAAACAGGCAAGCAGGCUUUUCAACCUUCUCUUCUACCUGAUGGGGAUUGCUGAGACACCCUAAACAAUCCCCGUCGGGUUGAAGAGAAGGUUGAAAAGUGGCAAGAGGGCCAGAGCCCC